rnacentral:misc_RNA from 1 species
GAUGAAGAACGUAGCGAAAUGCGAUAAGUAGUGUGAAUUGCAGAAUUCAGUGAAUCAUCGAAUCUUUGAACGCACAUUGCGCCCCUUGGUAUCCCGAGGGGCAUGCCUGUUCGAGCGUCAUUUCACCACUCAAGCCUGGCUUGGUGUUGGGCGACGUCCUCUUUGGGGACGCGCCUCGAAACGCUCGGCGGCGUGGCACCGGCUUUAAGCGUAGCAGAAUCUUUCGCUUUGGAAGUCGGGGCCCCGUCUGCCGGAAGACCUGCUCGCAAGGUUGACCUCGGAUCAGGCAGGGAUACCCGCUGAACUUAAGCAUAUCAAUACGGAGGA